ensembl:lncRNA
AAGGGACAGACAGAGAAUUGCAACUAGAAAUUCGAUCGAUUGGUACGAGGGACCACGUGGUCCAGGGUUGGCCAAUGACCAGGACGCCCGGGAUGAGCUAAUAAUGGAAGCAAUUUGUAACUUUCAGUAGCUCUCUAGGCCUGGGUACAGGAGGGAGGGAGAUGCGCGGAGGUGGGGAGGUGGGUACCCCCAGUCCUUCUACUCUCCUCUUUCGUACAGGGGCACCCGGAUUCCCUCUUUCUCUUUUGACCUAACACGCACGCAGACACUCACUGUGUCCCGCGCCCACCUCGGUCUAGCGGCCACUGCUCCAGAAAAAGAUUUGGGGGAAGAUUAAAUUCAGAUUAAUACACUUUUCUGGAGGAAGGUUGAAUGAGAGCCUCCCAUCUGGACACCCCAUUUCCCAGCUGCCCUGGCUUCCAGAUGUGGCCACAGGGGAAUGAGAGCCAAGUAAUGUCUUGAGAGCCUGAAGACAUUGGGUAAGCUCCUCUUUCCAUGAGCUGGACCAAGUUCACCUGAGACAGCGCUUUAACAACGCAGCCAGCAGAGGAGGAAUCCCUGGGAGAGAGCUGAGCAAUGAUACGGAAGGAAGCCACGUCUCUGAUUGACAAGGUGGAGCAGAGCAGCCCACGGUCAGGAACUACUCCAUCUUGACUGUUACAUGAGAAAUAAACUUGGUUUCUG